rnacentral:rRNA from 1 species
UACUUGUCAAAGUGGGGCAAGCACGGUGGCGAGGGCCGAGCGAGCGCGGCGGAGGAGGAGGGCGUGGGCGCGGAGCGGAGAGGGGGGAAGGGAGGUUUGGUAUCGGGGCGCGGCCGGCCGGCCGGCGGCGGCGGCAGCGGCGGGCGGGCCCGUGGAUAGGUGCUGGAGCGCGACGGGGAGAGGAGAAGGAGGACGGAGUGGAGAGAGAGGGGAGAGGUUUGGGAUUGGGAUCGGUGGUCGGAAGCGAGGUACGGCGCGGCAGCGUAUAAGAGGAGGAGGGGCGGGAGGGCCAGGAAUCGCCCUCCUCGCGCCGAACGGCGGCGUUGACGAGGCGCAGCGACGAGGGAGCAGCUCGACCGUGCAGGGGCAGUGGACCUCCUCGGCUGCGAGGGACGACGCGGCAGCGUACCGUCGACGAGGCGCAGCGACCAGGGGGUAGAUCGAGCAGACAGGGGCAGCGGACCUCCUCGCCUCCAACGGCGAGGUCGUAGAAGAGCCGGGAGGAAGGGAGCAGCCGCUCGCCGAGUACCGUUGAGGCUUAAGCCUCCGUCCAGACUUAGGUUUACACCUUGUCCCUUUCCAUUUUCGUCGAGUUAACCAACCAAGUUCGAUGUCCAACCGUGGAUGCGUCUUUCUCCACUACCUAACUUUCACGUCCUUGGUGAGUCUUAUUAGUAGCUAUGCCUGUUACUGCCACUUCCGGCAUGAAGGACCCGCUAAGAGUUGCAUCUUGGUCAACUGGACUGCCUUCUUCGGCUGUCGCUCAGCCCGGACGCCGAAAACACCACCCCACUCCUUCUCCUCCUGCUCCUCACUUUGCGACAGGUAACUACUACAGCGGAACGACGAUCCUCUUCCGCUCUCCUCCUCCGUCCUCGGACCUGGUCUUCGUGUCUUCCUACUCCGAUAAGUGCGCCAUUAACGUCCUCAACUACUAUACAUAGCAGGUCGUGGCAAUGAACUCCAGCGGCGACCUCGGCCUGUUCCAUUACCGAAUGGAAUGGGCCACUCCACGACUCAUCCUUCUCGCGUUCUGUGGUGGUGGUGGUGGUCCAUGAUCUCCCGCGGUAGCUCCUACAGCGGCAUGACUAACGGCUAUUGGAUA